GACCAGAGAGGCGGAGCUCAAAGUGAACGAAAAGAAAGAGAGAGAGAGAGAAAAAGGAGGAAGGAGGCACUUGCAAACGGUCCUCUGUUUAGUGUGUGAAUGUUAUAUGCAGCAAGUCUUAUACUUUAUAUACAUUAAGUUCAUCACUCGCUCUGUCGAUCGUCUUCAGAUGGCCGAUGAGACGAACGUGUUGGGCGUUCGGCUUCCAAGUCACGCUGUUCUUCCGUGACGUCAUCGUUGUACAGACCAGGAGAAAGAGAUUCAAAGCGUCAUUUAUUUAUCUUUUUUUUUUCAGAUUUAGGUAGUAACUUAGAGGAAGAUGCAGCUGUUAUUUCGUGUUCUAAAUUUAGCCUGGCGUUCAAUCGCCUUUUUUUUCUUUUUUUUUUUUAAAUAUAAUUUCAAAUUUUCUAUCGGUUUAAGAAAUGAUUCAUUUAUGUUUUUUUUCUCUUCCGCAUCUGGUCGUCCGUUCUCAAUCGGCUAAUAAACAAACUUAUGUCGCUGUUUGGAAGAAAAGGAGAAAAAAAAGGAGCACAAGUCUGCAAUGUUUAGUGCAAGAGAAAGGUGGACCAAUAAAAGACGUUGAUAUAGUACAGGAGAAUUAUUUCCGCAUAUCACUGGACCUUCUAGCAUCAGGGGUGGGGGCUAUAUUACAGCUAAGGAAAAAAAAAAACAACAAUAAAAAGAUUGAGCCGUUGGAGCGGUUUCUUGAUUAUAAAAACGAGGCGGUGAAAGAGAAUGAGAAAAACAAUCAAACGAAAGAAAAAAGAAAAAAAAGAAAAAAACCCAAGUACAGUAAAGUUUUCGGUUCACGGCGCUAUGGGAUGGUCCCGUUAUGGGCCGUCCGGUCGACUGGUGGUGCUAUAUUAUA